rnacentral:rRNA from 1 species
UUUUUCUCCAGUGCUUGACUCAUUGGAAGAGGAGUGGCGGCGGGUGAGUACACGUGGGUAACCUACCCAUCAGAGGGGGAUAACACUUGGAAACAGGUGCUAAUACCGCAUAACAGUUUAUGCCGCAUGGCAUAAGAGUGAAAGGCGCUUUCGGGUGUCGCUGAUGGAUGGACCCGCGGUGCAUUAGCUAGUUGGUGAGGUAACGGCUCACCAAGGCCACGAUGCAUAGCCGACCUGAGAGGGUGAUCGGCCACACUGGGACUGAGACACGGCCCAGACUCCUACGGGAGGCAGCAGUAGGGAAUCUUCGGCAAUGGACGAAAGUCUUGACCGAGCAACGCCGCGUGAGUGAAGAAGGUUUUCGGAUCGUAAAACUCUGUUGUUAGAGAAGAACAAGGACGUUAGUAACUGAACGUCCCCUGACGGUAUCUAACCAGAAAGCCACGGCUAACUACGUGCCAGCAGCCGCGGUAAUACGUAGGUGGCAAGCGUUGUCCGGAUUUAUUGGGCGUAAAGCGAGCGCAGGCGGUUUCUUAAGUCUGAUGUGAAAGCCCCCGGCUCAACCGGGGAGGGUCAUUGGAAACUGGGAGACUUGAGUGCAGAAGAGGAGAGUGGAAUUCCAUGUGUAGCGGUGAAAUGCGUAGAUAUAUGGAGGAACACCAGUGGCGAAGGCGGCUCUCUGGUCUGUAACUGACGCUGAGG